rnacentral:lncRNA from 1 species
GGGACAGCCCGCCUGGCGCGCGGGGCUCUGCGCGCUGCGACCCUCCCCGGCAGUCCCGCCCGCCUCUCCUCGCCCUCUCUCUGCCUGGCCUCCAACUUUGCCUCUCGCUAUCCUCUCCGCCGGCGCCCCCUUUCCCGGCGGUCCCCGGGAUGGUCCCCGGCACCCCGAGGACGCCGAGGUUACGGGAAGUUCGGGGACUGGCGGGAGAAGGGGUUUGGGGGUGGUCCGCGGCGAGGGGCGCGGGGUGCAUCUUCUCUUCCUUUUAUGGGCUGCCACACUUGUGUAUCCCUUCUUCCUUGAAUUUAACCAGGAGUGAGCAGUGGACAGCUUCUUCCCUAUGAGAAGGAGGUGAAGCAGGACCUGAAAUCCCGUGCUCAGCUCCCACAUGCCCCGUGUCCAGGACAAGUCCUUUGCUGAAUCAGCGGCAGACACCACCCGGAGCCCUGCGGGAGCCUUUCCCUGUUCUUCCAGCAUGGAUCUGAAACUCCCUUCCCACUUUCUGCAGCCUCCCAGAGAUAGUUCAGGCUCCAGCCUCAUGUGAUAGCAUGAAGAGAAACUGGUUCCAACAGCUGUGUGCUCUGCUGCCCUCAUCCCAAACAACAGUUUAAAUGCACAAUUACGCUUUUCUCUAAGGCCCAAAAUAGGAUAGGAAAGAUCGUUUUGCUAUCCCUGAAUGCCUGUCACCCUUGUUUCGUAAGCAGGAAGUCAGUCCCAGAAUAGUUGUUCUGCUCCCUCCCUUCUAAUAAGUGCUGCGCUGAGUGUGCUUGCUUUGCCAGAUGGUUAAAACAGAGCAGGGGAUAGAAGGACAGAUGUCUUCACCCUCAUGGAGUUCACCUUCCAGUAGGAGGAGGCGAUAGGCCGGGGUCUGCACAUGUGCGUGCUACAGCCUGUUCCACGAGACAGGAUUUCACCAUGUUGGCUAGGAUGGUCUCGAUCUCCUGACCUUGUGAUCCGCCCCUCCCUCAGCCUCCCAAAGUGCUGGGAUUACAGGCGUGAGCCACUGCACCCUGCCAGAAAACUCAUUCUUCUACUCCAUCCUACAGUUUUCCCUAAGAGAGAAACAAUAAAACGCCACCACGACCAAUGGCAAAAAGCUGGCACCCACUCCACGACUUUUCAUAUCUACACGUUUGUACAGCUUUAUUUUUAAGCAUUCUGAAAUUCUAUGCAGGAGAGACCCCAGCUAGGUUUAGGGAGUCCUAGGGUUUGUGGAGUAAAUGAAGUUUCUCCCUAGAAUUAGGGAGGGUAGAGACAGGCAGAGAACUGACAAUCCUAACAGCUGCUGUCCUCAGAGCCACUGUUUCUGAGAGCUGCUCGCUGAGUGCUUCUAGCGAGUUAAAUGGUGUUCGCCCAAAAGACCUGUUCACGUCCUGAUCCUGGGAACCUGUGGCUGUGAUCUUAUUUGGAAAAAGCUCUACAUUACGUCUUUGCAGAAGUAAUCAUGUUAAGGAUCUUGAGAGGACGUGACCCUGAAUUAUCCGGCUGUGCUUGACAUCCAAUGACUGGUGAUGUUGUAAGAGAAAGACGGAGGGAGAUGUAAGAUAUGAGAGAAGGCCACGCCGAGACUGGAGUGAUGUGGCCGUGAGCCGAGGAAUGCCUGGAGCCACCAGAAGCUGGCAAAGGCAGAAGGAGCCUCCUCUGGACCCUGUGGUGGGUACGCAGCCUGGCAGAUAUAUUCAUUUUGGACUUCUGGCCUCCAGGGCUGUGAGAGAAUACAUUUCUGCAGUUUUAAGCCACGCAAUCUGUGUCCCUGGGAAGCCCAAAUAGGGCGAGACCUUUUGCCAAGUGGUCUCCAAGUGUCACGUCAUCGAAUCCUUCUCCCGGGCUUGUGCCAUAGUCUUUCCACUUUAGAGAGGAGGAAACGGAGGCUCUGGGGCACAAAGCCAGUCAGUGGCGGGGCCUGACUUUCAACCCAGCCUGCAUGGGGUCAGAGAACCCACUUUCCCCGUGGGGCCUGCGGCCUAUGCUAAGGAUGCUUGUUCAUCUCUCCUGGGCCCGGGAGUGGUUCUUCUGGCCUAGAAGGCAAGAGAAGCCAGUCUUUCGGUUUCAAGGUUUCCCAUUAGUGGAGUCAAGCAAAAAUGGUGUGUUGCGCUUCUUCCUGAGCUCAGCCUGGGAGCACGGCCUUAACAUGCUCAGUGGAUCCCAAGACGGCAGCAUGGCGGUGCCAGCCUGGCAGCCUUAGCUCCUUGCAGCUGUGCUUGUGAAGGGAGCAGUGAGUGGCUUCCCUCUGUGACCACCUUGGGUCCUAAGUUUCACUGGGGCUGGGAUCCAUGCGUCUUGCAAUUGGCUAGGAAUUUCCCGGGCUUUCCCUCCCUUCCCUGUUCAGGGCACUGGGUGUGAGGCAUUGCAUCCGUUCUUCUGCUCACCUGCUUCCCCCUAAGAGUGUGAGCUGUAUAAAGGCAGGAACCAAACAGGAGCCUCCACGUGUUCCCAGUUCAAGGGCAGUGUCCCUUGUGUGUUUCUUCAAUAAUUCAGUGGAUGACUUAUUCUGCACGGACACUGCACACACUCGGCCCUGCCGUCUCCGGAGCUGGGAGGUGUGGAGCUGGCUCCUGACCUAUUUACACACUGAGGAGGGAUGUGGAAAACAGGAGGAGUCCCAGGGCUCCAAUGCAAAGAGGAGCCUCUUCAUUCCCUCUGCCGUGGCCGUGCAAGGGACAGCGCCUUGUGGGAUUGUGUCCUCCACCCAAUUAUCCUUAGCAUUAGUUUGCUAAGGAUAAUGGCCUCCAGCUCCACCCAUGUCCCUGCAAAGGACAUGAUCUCAUUCCUUUCUGUGUCUGCAUAGUAUUCCAUGGUGUAUAUGUACCGCGUUUUCUUUAUCGAGUCUAUCAUUGAUGGGCGCUUCAGUUGAUUCCAUGUCUUUGCUACUGUGACUCGUGCUGCAAUGAGCAUUCGCGUGCAUGCCUUUAUGGUGGAAUUAUUUCUAUUCCUUUGGGUGCAUACCCAGUCAUGGGAUUGCUGGGUCAAAUGGCAUUUCUGCCUCUAGGUCUUUAAGGAAUUGCCACGCUGUCUUCCACAAUGCAAGCAAGACGUUAUUGAAAGUGUAAAGGGGGCUGCUAAUUACGCUGGGGCAGGCGGGGCAAACCAGGACCCUGCCAGGCGAGUCUAGGCCAUGGCCCCACACCAGAAGAUGAGGGCUGGAGACUCCUGGAGAGGAAUCUGAGUGGCGAGACCACCUGCAUUCAUUAUGUGUCAACUCUGCCAGGUGACAGUCCCCAGUGAGCCCAUCAAACAUGAACCUAGGUGCUGUUGGGAAGGUCUUUGGAUGCCAUUAACAUCUACAAUCAGUUGGUUUUCAGUAGAGGAGAUUAUCCUCAAGAAUGUGGGCGGGCCUCAUCCAGUGAGCUGAAAGGCCUUGAGAGCAGAACUAGGAUUUUGGAGGAGGAUGAAGUGUUGCCUCCGGACCGCAGCGUCACCUCUUGCCUGGGAAUUUCCAGCUUCCUUUUCAGACUUCGGACUUGCCUCCAAGCUCCCUGAAUCUUUUCAUAUAUUUAUGUCCUAUUGCAGAUUGUGUUUCUCUGGCUGGACUGUAACUGAUGAGGAGGACUGAAAUUCCAGGCUUGGUUGUAUAGCAUAUAAGUGAGGUCAUUUGGGUCUGGGGAGCUGGGGGGGGGGUCCUUCAGCUGCAUGAGUGUGACCUGCACCAAGGUGCCUGGCUACCUGGGGCGAGGGGGCUGCCAUCUAGCCCACACCCCACUCCUAGGCCGUGCACCCUGGCAUGGGUCUAUGUCUGGCUCAAGGAAGGGUUCCCUCCUCCCUCCAAUGUGCACAGAGACCUUGAGAUCCCAUCCACCUAACCCUGUGCCCUCAGAAGCCUCCUCUGAGAGGGGGCACCUUUUCCUAAUUCUCACAAAGGCUAGUGGCUACCUUGUAGAUAGCCUUGGAUGUGUUAGGACACUUUUCUGAACAUCAGUUCCUUAUCUGUAAGAUGGGAGUUGUGUCCUCAAUGGGUAAUUAGAGAUUAUUCAUGGGAAAUCCUAUCACGGUAUCUACCACGGGGAGACUCACAAGUGCUGAUCUUUGCUGGUGUUGCUGCAUUUGUUAUUGAAUGCAUUCGUUAGGAGUCUUGUUAGUAAGUGACAAAAAUCCAACUCAAAUUGGCUUACACUAAACAA